GUGGAUAGUAAGUUUGGUUCCAUGGAGAUAGUGGGUAGAUUGGUGAUGAUGAUGAAUCGCUAGUUGAGGCGUUGCUUGGACGCUGAGAAUCGCUGUUGGUGCUAAUAGCGUCUUUGUUGUCGCUGUGGUUGUGAUCGCCGUCGGUGUGGUAAGCUUCGUCGCCGGCGUCGAGGGAAUCAGAUUUCAAGAAAGAGGCGAAAGUGAGCCUCCGGUAAGGAUCGUUGCGACUGUGGUUAUCUUGAAUAGCCAUACUUUUUUCGAGAUUACAGAAACAAUUGAUUGAUUUAUUUGUGUUGGACAGAAAAGAGAGAGUUCGAUCUUUUUUGUUUUUUUUUUCCGCGUGUGGUGUAACUAUCUUGAAAUGUUAAGCCCUUUGUCAAAAAAAAAACAAUCUUGAAAUGUUACGUAGAAUUGUAACUAUAGCAGAAGGAGAUGGGUGGGGGUAUAUAUACAGUUUCGUAUGCAGAAAUGUAGGAAAACUUAAGACGUGUAAAACCGACACGUGUUGGAGAAGACGUGAGUCGAAGACCGGACACCGGUUGUGCCAGAUUCAUUGGAAAGUAUGCAGACAGACAUUAUUUUCUGUAUAAAGUAAUAUAUAAACUAGUAUUUUCGUUUGUUUAUUAAAUAAAGCCCUUAGAUGAUCUCCAGCCCGUAACACUAUUAUAUUGUUAAAACCACUCUAUUUUAGUGUAAUUUUAGCACUAACAAAUUUUUUUUUCUAACCAUAACACUAAAUUUCACAUUAAAAAUUAUUUUAUAAUAUUAUAUGUAUUUAUAGUUUUAUUUGUUAUUUAUUUAAUUGUCUAUUUUAUUAAUAAAUUAAGUGAAUAGUAUUUUAGUGUGGUGAAUAGUAUUUUAGUGUGGUGAAUAAUGUCACACCAAAUUUGGUGUGAAAUUAUAGUGUUGUACUAAAAUAGUGUGAUUUUUAGUGUUGGGUUAGAGAAGGUUUUAGUAUCAAAAUCACACUAAAAUAAUGUUUUGGAGUUGAGUUGGAGAUGACUUUAGCUAUGUAAAGUGAUGAAUAUUUCGUUACAAGUUGACAAAAUAAUUAGUUACAUCGUCUAUUUUCACGAAACACUUCAAAUUUCUAAUAUUACUAAGUACAUUUUUGUUGAUCAAAUGUGAAGGUAUUUUCACCAGCAAGAGAUGUGAAUGUGUGGAAUCAACUUUUCAUAAAUGUUUAAUGUAACUGUGAUUUUCAAUGGGCAGAAAAUAGUAAAUUAGAAAAUGCUACAAGUUAAAAUUAUGGCUGUAUAAGCAAGAUGAGAAUGUUAUUUUUUGUAUGCUAUAUAUUAUCGCGUUUAUGGUUGGUGAUUAUAAAAACAGUACCAUGAUGAGAAACUAGGUCUGUCCAAUAUGGUAAAACCGAACUGUGCCGAAUCGAAAUAGAUAAUAUGGUGUGAUUUUGAUAUAUACCAUAUAAACCGAAUGAAUAUGAUUUUAUAAAAACCGUAAGAUUUGGAUAUGGUUUGGUUUAUAAUCGAUUAAACCGAAUAAACCGAACAAAACCGAUCAAAUGAAAAUCUGUACAUAUGUACAUAUUUUAUAACGUCACAUGAAAAUCUAUUUGUUAUAUAAGUUAUUCUUUUGUUAAUAAUUAUUACCAUAUUUUUUAUAGUAAUAAAAAAUCCUAAUUUGAAAAAUACUUAAAAUAUAAUUAAAUAAUAAUUCAUCGCAACUAAGGCUUCUUAUUUUCUUAGUCUUCUUCUUUUAAUCAUUUUGCUUUCUUUUAACAUUGAUUAAAUUAAAGUGAAUGGUUAUAAAUUUGAUGGAUAAUAACUAGAAAAAAUUCUUCACAACUUUUUUCUUAUUUAUAAACGGGAAAAACUUUUCUUUCAUACUUUUCUUUUGUUUUGUAUUUUUAUUUUCAAAAUUUCGAGCUUUGAUUUUAAUUCUAAAUUUGAUUAUUUCAUCUGAAGGUAUAAGCAUUUUUAUUUUUUUUGCUCUUUUAUUUGAAAAUAUAAUAUUUUUUUAAUAAAUGACUGCGAUGACAAUAUGACUCUAAAAUUUAUAUAAUAUAAUCUCAAACUAAAUUAUUAUUUUUGGUAUAAAACCGAAUAAACCGAAAACCGACGAUAUAUAAACCGAACCGAACCGAAGUAAAUAUGGAUUUAGAAUAUUAGUUAUAUUUUACUAACCGAAAAACUGAAAAACCAAGAAACCGAACCAAAACCGAACCAAAACCGAACCGAUAUCCGAAUUGAACCCCCCUAUAAGAAACCACUAAUCAGACUUGUAUGAUUUGACAAAAAUAUGGCUUUGUUUUAUUUUCGGUUGGUUGGCGAAUAAAAUAAGAUAAGGUAUGUGUGUGGCUGUGCUGUUGGCUCCUCGUCUUCACACGUUGCAGCAUCAUACUAUAACAUUACGUAAUAGGGAGCAAACACAGAAAAGGUGUUUCUCGAAGCGUUAGAGAGAAUUUAAUAAUUAAAAUAUUUUACCUUAAGAUUGGUAUUGAUCACGUUGUGAGAGAACUUUUCUUCUAAAUGUUUGACUUCUCUUUUCUGUAACUCCUCAGUCCUCAGUUAAACAAGUUGAAUUAGGUUUUUAUCUUGUUUAGUUUCAAACACGACAGAAUUAUGAAUAACUUUCCCAUUUUUGUUUCGCUUUUUCCUUCGUUUUUGACGUAAAUAUGAAAUGUAAAAAUGAAGAAGAGAUGAAAUGUAUUUUUCAAAAGAAAAAGGUGUAUGUUGGAUAAAUCAGUGUUUAUAUGGGACUUUGUUGGUAGCUGAAGACUCGAAGUCGAUGGUCAAUUUUAUACUAGGUUGUACAUGUUCCCAUUAGAAGCUUUGGAAUUUAGGUAAUUUAACUACGACAGCAAAUAAUGGAUAAAGUUUUUCACAGACAGAAGAUUAUACAGUUCAUAUUAUUGUCAGGAGAGUAGGCCUUUUCAAGCUAAAGAAGCUCAUAAUUUUUAACAUGAUUACCAAAAAAAGAAGCUCACAAUAUUACUCUUUUUAUUUUAAAAGAAUAUAUGUUUAAAAGUUCUUACACAUAUUAAAUCAUUUUGUGAUGAAUCAUUUCCAUAAAUUUUAGCCAGUAUAAAUCUAGUAAACACAACUAAUCUUAUUGAAAUUUACAAUUUACCACUAUUACUUAAUAAAAAAAAUACUUUGAAAACGGAAAAAAUGUAAUUUUAGAAAUAAAUAUUUUUUCCUAAAACAUGAAUCUAUUUGUAAUGGAAAAAGUAAAAAUAAUUUGACCACUGUUAUAAAUCAUAUUGUGGAUGUCAUAACCGGUCCAGUCUAUAACCGGCCCAAUACCUAGAGAGAGAGAGAGAGGCGGCCGCAAGAGAGAGAGAGAGAGAGAGAGAGAGGCGGCUUAGAAAAGGGGAAACCCUAGUUUCCUUUUCCUUGUAUUUGUACACUUUCCAUAUUUAUGUCUUUCCUUUUAUCUCUUUGUAACUCCCAUAUAUAAGGGCACCUUAUGAUUGAUUAAUAAUAACAAGAACUUACAGAUUCUAAUUCCUUAAGUUCACAACACGUUAUCAACACGAAACUCUAAAUCUCUAAGCUAAUACCCAAUUCGUCAAACCCUAAAACCCUAGCCGGCUUGAACCCUAAUCUUCCCGGCGAGAAACCUAAUCCCGAUCGUGAUACAAACCAUCCAGAUCCCUAACCUGUUCGCGACCUGAUCAACCCGAUCUCAGCUCAUCCAGCUCGCGUUCCCGACCUGCUCCAGCUCAUUCGGGACAUCAGCCUCAAUCCGGUAGUAGCCAGCUCGCGUCUCGUUCGUGUCCAGCUCGCGGUUCAUCCUUCUUGGUGGUCCGGUUUCAACAAUCUACUAAGCUAAAAGGUAAUUCGAAAUCUAAGAACCUAUGAAUCGAAUUUGGAUUGUUUGAUAAAGAAUGAAACCAUAAAACCUAAUCUUUAUGAUAAAAGCCAUAGGAUAAUAGAUCAAACCCUAAUGAGUAAAUCGAAGCUCUAUAAGUUCGAUACCCCAAACCCUAAAUCGAGAUUGAUCUAUUGAUCAAUUAAAAUCAAAAUCCUUGAUGAUUUUGAAUCUCAAAUUAAACCCCUUUUGAUCUAAGAUCAAAUCGAAACCCUAAACCCUAAUUUGAAAAAUCGGUUUUGAUUGUUUGAAUUUGAAUCUUGAUUGAUUGUCUUGAUCAAAUAGAACUGUUGCUAAGAUUGUUUAAACUCGAAAUCUGAAUGAAUUGAAAUUGUUUUGCUUGUUUAAACUGAAACCCUAAUUGAAACCGCCUGUUUGAUAAGUGUUUCCAUAUAACCUAGUCUUGAUUGUUUUGAUAUUAAUUCUGAAACUGCAUGCUAGGUUAAUUGUUCUAGACUUGAUCAUACCUCGUGGCCGUGCGGCCUUGUUUCAUUCAUACCUAACCUGAUCACAUUGAUUGAUUGCAAUUACACUUAGAACCUUAUGCUAAGAUCAUAAUGAAUUGAAAUCAAAUAGCCGUGUAAUUGAUCUCUUACUUGACCGAGAGUUUUGUUUGUAUAUUACUGUUUUGAUUGCAUCAUGCAUAUCUCGUAUGAACUGAUAGAAACCAUAUAUGCUAGGAUUGCAAUUACAAAAUGAACUGAAUGCAUAAAAACGAACUGAUUGCAUCCAUAGUCGUGCGGCUUGUUUCUGUUUUGGCCGUGAGGCUUCUUCGUUGACUGUGAGGCUUCCUUGUUGGCCGUUAAGGCUUAUUGAUUGUUUGAACAUUAAAAUUGCUAAAAGAUCUAAAUUAUAUAAAUCUAUGUUUUAGAUGUCAAAAAUCAAUAACUUGGACUUUGCCGCCCUAAAUCUCUCUGGAGAUAAUUACCUUCAAUGGGCGCUUGAUGCUAAGAUCAUCCUGAAAUCCAAGGGACUCGGUGAGUGUAUCACCGAGGACAAUAAUGCCAGUGAAAAAGAUCGAUACAAAGUCAUCUUGAUCAUUCGCCAUCAUCUAACUGAGAGUCUCAAAGAUCAGUAUCUGACCAUUGAGAAUCCACUUGAUCUUUGGACAGAAUUAAAAUCGAGAUAUGAUCACCAGAGAACGGUGAUCUUACCAAAGGCUCGUUUUGAUUGGAGGAAUCUCAGAAUCCAGGACUAUAAGUCCGUGGACGAGUAUAAUUCGACACUGUUUAAGAUUGUUUCUAAAUUGAAACUGUGUGGUGAAAGUAUUACGGAUCAUGAUAUGCUUGAGAAAACCUUCUCCACUUUCCACACAAGCAAUGUGCUGUUACAACAACAGUACCGUGAGAAAGGUUUCACGACUUAUGCUAAUCUUAUUUCUUGUCUCUUCCUCGCUGAGCAGAACAAUGAAUUAUUAAUGAGAAACAGUGAGAUGAGACCUCCUGGCUCAGCCCCACCACUUGAAGCACACGUCACAGAGGAAAAUAAAAAAUCCCAUCACGUCCAAGGAAACGGCCAUUAUGGUCGUGGUCGAGGAAAGUGGAACGGACGUGGACGUGGCCGAAGCUCCUUUAGCCGCGGGCGAGGGAAUCAACAUGGUAGAGACCAUGGGCGUGACUGUGGCUCAUUUGGAAGAGGUCAUGGUCGCGGCCGUGGAUCUUCAUUCAAACCUCAACAUUCGACCAACUCAAGCAAAUCAGUGUGCCAUAGAUGUGGUAUGGGGCAAUCAUUGGGCUAAGACUUGUAGGACUCCCAAGCAUCUAGUUGACCUCUAUCAAGAGAGUUUGAAAGGGAAGAAUCAUGAAGCCCAUAUGACUUAUCAAGAUGAUGAAAAUGAUUUCAAUCAUGAUAAAGACGAUCUUAUGGAUUAUGAAACUUCAGAUUGUCUAAAAUACUGAAGAUUGAUUUUGACAUUUGUAAUCUAAAUUAUGUGUUCUUUGCUUUGGUGUUUUUCAUUUCUAUGUUGUCAUUUCCUUGAAUUUAUUAAAACUUAAUGAAUGAUUUUUAUAAAUGAAUUCUCUAAGUAAAAUCUUUUGAAUCUUGUUUUAGAAAUGAUCGAUAACAAGGAUGUACUCGUUGUGGACAGUGGGUCGAGCCACAUGAUCUUAAAAGACAAAAGAUACUUGAUAAACUUGACACUAAAAAAUGCCAACAUCUCCACCAUUGCGGGUAUAGCUAGUUUCAUAGAAGGUCACGGCCAGGCUAACAUCAUGUUACCUAAGGGUACACAUCUUGAGAUAUCAGAUGCCUUGUAUUCACCCAACUCUAAGAGAAGUCUAUUAAGCUUUAAAGACAUUCGAAUGAAUGGCUUUUUUAUUGAAACCAAGGGCGAAGGAAACAAAGAGUUCCUUCAGAUCAUUGAAAUCGCCCAAGGUCAUAAGAAAGUUUUAGAAUCCAUAUCUGCACUAUCUACUGGUCUUUACCAUACUAAAGUCAGUAUGAUCAAGGCCAAUGCCACUUUUAACAAAGAGGCAAUCGACAACUUCACUUUAUGGCACGACCGGCUUGGCCAUCCCGGUUCGACCAUGAUGCGUAAACUGAUCUUGAACACAAACGGCCAUUCCCUUAAAGAUAAACGAAUUAUCCCUAAGCACCUAACGUGUGUUGCUUGUUCCCAAGGGAAACUCAUUUCUAGGCUAUCACCAGUUAAAGUCACAAAGGAAACGAUAAACUUUCUGGAAAGAAUUCAAGGAGACAUCUGUAGACCAAUACAUCCACCUUGUGGAACAUUUCGAUAUUUCAUGGUCCUCAUUGAUGCGUCCACUAGAUGGUCGCAUGUAUGUCUUCUGUCGACCCGCAACCUGGCAUUUUCUAGAUUGCUUGCUCAGAUAAUUCGAUUAUGAGCUCAUUUUCUAGAUUUUCCUUUGAAGACUAUACGUCUUGAUAGUGCUGGUGAAUUCACUUCCGAAGCGUUUAAUGAUUAUUGUAUGUCCAUGGGGGUAACUUUGGAACACUCCGUGGCACAUGUACAUACACAGAACGGCUUAUCCGAAUCAUUUAUAAAACGCAUACAACUCAUUGCUAGACCGUUGCUGAUGAAGUCUAAGCUGUCGGCUACUGCAUGGCGACAUGUCGUACUACACGCAGCCGAGCUCAUACGCAUGAGGCCAUCUAGUGAACAUAAGUAUUCCCCAUCACAAUUGCUUACGGGUCAUGAGCCAGACAUAUCCCAUCUUAAGACAUUCGGAUGUGCCAUUUAUGUUCCAAUUGCUCCACCACAGAGAACAAAGAUGGGAUCUCAAAGGAGGAUGGAGAUAUAUGUUGGAUUUGAUUCCCCCACGAUUUUAAAGUAUCUCGAGCCAACUACGAGUGAUUUGUUUAAGGCCAGAUACACGGAUUGUCAUUUUAAUGAAUCCGAACAUCCAACAUUAGGGGGAGAUAGCAGUAAAAUGGUAAAAGAAAUAACUUGGAAUCAAACAUCCAUAUCUUGACAAGAUCCUCAGUUUUGUCCCACUGGGUUUUCCUGGUAAGGUUUUAAUGAGGCAACUUCCAAAGCGUAUUACAAUCUCUGUAUGGUUAUGGCAUCCAAAAUCAAUUGCCAGAUUCCUUUGCUGACCCGAAAAGAGUGACUAAGUCAUAUAUACCAGCUGCUAAUGCACCAAUAAGAAUUGAUGUUCAUGAAGGACACAAUCAAGUUGCUACAGAGUCUAGAAAACAUUUGAAACGUGGUAGACCAAUAGGUUCCAAAGAUAAGAACCCUCGGAAAACAAAGAAAGGUGCUGAAAUAGAAACCGAGGGACAUGAUAUCCGAGACACGGCCGCGGCUGAUCCGAAACCCCGGGACAUGGCCGUGGUCGACCCUGAUGCCCUUAAGGUGGCAGGCUCUGAUGUACCAAACAAUGAUUCUUGGGACGUCAAGAUUCAUGGUACUGAAGUUCCAGAUAAUAAUGAGAUCUCAAUAAACUAUGUCUUGUCUGAGAUACAAUGGAACAGAAAGAAUGUCGACAUUGAUGAUAUAUUUGCAUACAAGGUAGCACUUGAACUUAUGGAUUUAAACGAGGAUCAUGAACCCACAUCCAUUUAUGAGUGCACUCAACGAUCAGAUUGGAUCAAAUGGAAAGAAGAUAUAAACGUGGAAUUAAACUCUUUAAAGAAGAGAGGUGUUUUCGGCCCUAUCAUCCGAACACCAUAUGAUGUAAAACCAGUUUGAUACAAAUGGGUCUUUGUGAUAAAAAGAAAUGAAAAUGGUGAAGUCGUGAGAUAUAAGGCACGGCUUGUUGCACAAGGAUUCUCACAGAGACCAGAAAUCGAUUAUGAGGAAACAUAUUCCUCUGUGGUGGAUGCUACAACUUUUAGAUUCCUAAUAAGUCUCGCCAUAAGAGAAAACUUAGACUUGCGGUUAAUGGAUGUAGUAACUGCAUAUUUAUAUGGUCCACUGGAUAAUGAAAUUUAUAUGAAAGUCCCAGAGGGUAUUGAAUUGAAAAGCAAAGAGAGUUCUCGAGAACAACAUUGUAUAAAGUUGAAUAAAUCUCUUUAUGGACUGAAACAAUCUGGUCGAAUGUGGUACAAUAGACUAAGUGAGUACCUAGUGAAAGAGGGCUAUAAAAACGACCCAAUCAGUCCAUGUUUUUUCAUAAAGAAAUUCAAAAAUAAAGGAUUCGUGAUCAUAGCAGUAUAUGUUGAUGAUCUGAAUAUCCUAGGAACCUCUGGAGAGAUUUCCCAAACGGUUGAAUACCUUAAUUAAGAAAGAAUUCGAGAUGAAAGAUCUAGGAAAAACGAAAUUCUGUUUGGGAUUAAAACUUGAGUACAUAAAUGAUGGAAUCCUUGUGCAUCAGAUGACAUAUACAUAAAAGGUACUCAAGAGGUUUAAUAUGGCCGAGUGUCAUCCUCUAUCCAGUCCCAUGGUCGUGAGGUCCCUCAGUUUGGUCACUGAUCCCUUCCGUCCCAAGAUGGACGAUGAAGAUGUCCUUGGUCCCGAAGUGCCAUAUCUCAGUGCCAUAGGAGUUUUAAUGUAUUUGGCAAGUCACACACAGCCUGAUAUAUGCUUUGUCGUGAACUUACUAUCUAGCUUUAGCUCCUGUCCGACCCAAAGGCACUGGAACGGGAUAAAACAUGUUCUUCAUUACCUGCAAGGAACGAAAAAUUUGGGUCUAUUUUAUACUAACCAUAACAAAUAUGGUUUAGUUGGCUUUGCUGAUGCAUGCUAUCUAUCAGAUCCACACAAUGCUCAAUCACAGACAGGAUAUGUCUUUACACAUGGAGGUACGGCCAUAUCAUGGCGUUCCAUGAAACAGACGGUCGCGGCCACUUCAUCUAAUCACUCGGAAAUAUUGGCCAUUCAUGAGGCCAGCCGCGAGGUCGUCUGGUUGAGGUCGAUGACCCAAUAUGUCCGAUCAGAUUGUGGGAUGGCCUAGUACAAGAAACCGACCGUGAUGUAUGAGGACAAUGCUGCAUGCAUUGCUCAGCUCAAAGACGGCUACAUCAAAUGAGACAGGACAAAGCAUAUUUUGCCCAAAUUCUUCUUCACUCACGAGAUGCAAAAGGCUGGAGAGGUCCAAGUGGUCCAAGUACGUUCCAGUGACAACUCAGCCGACCUGUUCACCAAAGCACUUCCGACUUGCACGUUCAGGAAGCUCACACAUCAGAUUGGGAUGCGUAGACUGAAAGAUCUUCAGUGAUGAUCAGAACUGAGGGAGUAGUACGUUUUGUACUUUUUUUCCUUCACCAUGGUUUUGUCCCACUGGGUUUUCCUGGUAAGGUUUUAAUGAGGCAACUUCCAAAGCGUAUUACAAUCUCUGUAUGGUUAUGGCAUCCAAGAGGAGUGUUAUAAAUCAUAUUGUGGAUGUCCAUAACCGGUCCGGUCCAUAACCGGCUCAAUACCUAGAGAGAGAGAGGCGGCCGUAAGAGAGAGAGAGAGAGAGACGGCUUAGAGAAAGGGAAACUCUAGUUUCCUUUUCCUUGUAUUUGUACACUUUCUAUAUUUAUGUCUUUCCUUUUAUCUCUUUGUAACUCUCAUAUAUAAGGGCACGUUAUGAUUGAUUAAUAAUAACAAUAACUUACAUAUUCUAAUUCCUUAAGCUCAUGAAAAUGGUUUUAAUACGGGCGAGGUGCUGCCAUGCAAGCCAAACAUGCGGCCACCCAUGUGGGCGAGACGGGUUCGAAGGUUCUUAAAUCCAUAUUUUCUUCUUUAAAAAUGUAGCCAAAAAUAAACAAAUAUUGACUAUGCUCUGAAAUAUAUAUAUUAUCAGUUACAAUUGUAUAUAAUUUAUGAAUUUCGAUGCUUCAACUAAUUAUGAAAACUGAAAAUUAUACCAAAAAAUUCUCUUAAAAUAUUUUAAGUUUUAUUAGUUAGUAACUUGAUUUUGCUUACAUUUUUAAUUUUUAUUUUAAUAUAUUUUUGAAAAAUUCAUCUGUUUUUUUAAUAGACAGACGUUUUCACAAUAUAUAUUUUAAUCUCGACGGAGCAAAGCUUAGUAUAAAACCUUAAACUGUUAGUAUGCGUUUACCUCUAAACCCAUUAAUAUAUAUAUAUAUAUACAUGUUAUAAAUAUAAAAUAUUUAGAAUUUGUAAUUUGUUCACUUUUACAUAAAUAUUAUUUUAUUAUUUUAUGUUGUUCUGUAUAAUUAUGUGGGAUGAAUGACGGACUGUAACUAUAGUUAAUAUAGAAUUUAGUUUGUAGAUGUUGUUAUUGUAGUUUUAAAAUUUCUAAUCUGAAAUUUUCAGCCAAACAAAUUGUUUUAGAAAAAAAAAUGAAAACUGUCAAAUCCAUAGUGUUUAGAUAUGAUUAAUUCAAAGCCUAACUAGGGUUGUGCGGGUUUUUUUAAUUUAUAUACUAUAAUGUUUUAGUUUAUAUAACAAAAUUUACCAAUAACUUAACGUAAUUUAGUGUUAUAUAUUAUGUAAUUAUAUAAUAUCUAUGUUUACGUGGCUUAUAUAUUAUUACUAUAAAUUUUGUGUUUUUGUAACAAAAAUUAUUUUCGAAACUUUAUUAUGUAACAAUAUUACUUUACAUAAUUUUUUUUAAAAAAUUUAUAUGAAAGCAAAUUAAAUUGGAUCUAUAUAGUAGAAAAUAUAUUGUUUGAGAUACUGUAAAGAAUUUCUUUUAAAGAAAAACUAUAAUACAUUGUACUUCAAAAUAUGUUUGUAGUAAAUACCAUAUUUGAGAAAUACACUAAGUUGGAUGAAAUAUAUUCUUUUAAUUUGAAAUAGAAAUGAAUAUUUCUAACAAAAUCUUUGUAAAUUUUAUUUUUAAAAAUUAAUCAGUUUAGAUUGUUAUUAUCAGUGAAUAUAUAAUUAUAAUACUUUAUAUAAUUUUACAUUUUCAUAUAUAAAUCAAAACUAAAAUAAAUUUUAAUUUCUAAUUAUAGUUUAUGAUAACUAAAAUUAAAAUUAAUUACUUUUGGAUAUAAAAUUUAAAUUGAUUCCGAAAAUAUAUUAAAAAGAUUUUAUAGAACUUUCUUAAAAAAUAUUUAUUAUUAUUCAAUUAAAAAUAUAAAUAUUAUAAUUAAUUCAUGUAAAAUUUGAUAAAAUUUUAAAGAAUGGUCCAAAUGAACAAACCACGCAUGAAAAAUUCAUCACUACAGUAUAUAUAUAUAUAUUUAAAAUAUUAUAUAUUUAUCAAUACAUGUUUGUUAACACAACAUCUAUAUAAAUAUUGAUACAUGUAUAAUGUAUAACAUAAUUAAUAAUAAUAACACUUAUUAUGAAAAUACAAUAGUGUUAGGAUUUUAAUAUUUGAUUUGAUUUUAUUAUUUGCAUGGUGAAAUUCUAACAUUAUUUUAUUUGCAUAAUAAAUGUUAAUUGUUAUUAUUAUUAAUUAGAUUAUAUGCAGGUAUUAACUCUAGAAUAAUUAAAUGUUAUUAUUAUUAAGUAAAUUAUAAAUGGUUAUGCAACUAUAAUUAUAUAUUGAUGGAAUAAAUAUAUUUUUGAAAUUAUCCAUUAUUAAUAAUAUUUUGGUGGAAUAAAAAGAUAAUUAAAUAUCUUGUUAGGAUAUUGUUAUGAAAAUACAAAAAAAUAAUGUAAGCAUCUUUCUAGGGUUGGUCCAUUUAAAAUAUCACACAUGAAAAAAAUCACGACUUCUCUUUUAAUAGUAUAUAUCGAAAAACACAUGAUGCAAAAAAAUGCUUUUACAUGGGAGAUUUUCUACUACCCAGCUAAUCACCCACAAAAUUAUCUUAAUUCAUCGAAUAUAAUGCAAGAUAACAAACCGAAGCAACUGUCGGCCACGAGGAAACCAGAUAACCCGAUGCCCGUUUACAUGUGGAGACUGUAAUCUUGUCAUCUGCCAAGUUUGUUUAGUGUUGAAGGAUGGCUGAAAAGAGUCUCACAUUCCCUUCCAAAGCCGCAUAUCAGUCUCUGAAGAUAGACCCUGCAGCCUAAAUAUUUUAAUAAAUACUUUAAUAAAUACUUUAGUUAGGCUGCAGGGUCAACGAUUCCUUUUAUAAAUAUUUUAAUCAUCAUAAACAGGCUAUUGUUACAAAGACAAUCGUAAUUUACCAAACGAUGCACAAUCUACUUCGGGUACUUCUAAUUACCAUCGUAGCUCGUAAUUCACAGGAAACUGAAAGAUUUUUUUUUUUCCAAUAGUAUAUCAUUUUGAAAAAAAAACAAAAAUAGUAAUUUUUCAAAUGUUAGAGAACAAUAUUUACUCAUUUUAUUAUUAUUUUUAUUUAAAAAUUGAAUUUUAAAAAUUUAUAUAGUUUUUUCUUAUAUUUAAAAUAUUAAAUAUUAGUGUUUUAUUUAAAAAAUAUUAAUAUUUUUAAAGAUACAAUAAUAAUCUCAUAUAUAAAUCAAUGUUUAUUCUAUUAAGUUUCGUGAGAAUUCACUCUUACUCGGCUUAGAUCAAAACACCGGUGCGUGGUAUAUGUUUUUGUAGUCCGAGGCGUCUUGGUACGGCGGUUUUUUUUGUCUCUGUUUCUGUUAGCCACAUACGGUUCAUUUUUCUCCCGGGUGCAUCUGGUUGUUGGGUUGAUGAUGUGUGGUAGCGUCUGUCUCCGACUAAAGCAUCUGAAGUCCCAGAGUUUUGGAUUUCCGCAGUAGGCUAUGGCCGUGAGUUCGAGAUUUGUCUAGCCUUCCUUUCAGGUUUUUUCCUCUUCUGUGCACGGCUGAUCAAACCCCUUACAGUGUUGGCGGAUAGUUUAUAAGGGUGAGCUUGGUUCAACAUAUGGUUCUUUGUUUUGACAUAUCUCUCAAUUACAAAGCGGUCCAACUAUUGGUUUUUGAUAGAAACAAAUUGCGUCGAUUCUUGAGGGGUCGAGGUGGUCUACAGCUCUUUGGUUUUCGGUGAUUCUAUUUGGAGGGGUAGCAUAUCCCAGUACCAACAUUAGGUUUCUUGACAUUUGUUGGUGCAUGUUACGUGUUUAUUUUGAUCGGUCAGUGCGGUUCCGACUCAAAUCUGAUCUUCUUGCUUGGUUCUUGGCGAUGAAGGUGGUUGUGUGUUAUUGCCCUUUUGGGAAUCCUUCAGGUAAGUGCGUCUUUGGAACCUCCCAUCCCUUUUGAUGUCGCUUCAAAGUCAGUGAUGAUUACAAGUCUAGAUUAAUUCGUUGAGAGACAACUGUUCUGGAGGCAGGAAAACCCCAACAUCCGAGAAAACGAAGUCAAUCUCUCAUUCCUAUGGUCAUCGUCAAUGGUUGAAAAUGGUAGUCGAUUCUCGAGGAUUAUGACCCGAGCUAAAAGAAUGACCGAAAUAUGGAUCGAGCGAAACUAGUUAGUAGUAGUUUAAUUCGGGAAAUUUUGUUUGACUCGAAGUUCGUAAUCAAAAUCUUGUUCAUGUUUUCUAGUUUUUGAUAUUUAUAAUAUAUAUAUUUUUUUAAAAAUACAAAUAUUAUUAAGAAGAAAUAAUAACAUGUUCGUUAUUUCUGAAAAGCCCAAAAGAUUGAUUAUCAUGUAAACUAACUCUGACACACUCGGCACUCGUUUGAUUUAGUGUUCAAAACGAAAUAUUUUUCUGAUAAAUAUCAUCUAACUAACAAUGUACAUGCUUUGUUUUUGUCUUCUACCAUCUCCAAAAGACAAUAUACUUUAAAGUUUACGAAACUCCAUAUUUGAACUUUAAAAUUGAUCUUUUCAUCAAAAAAAAAAUUUCAUACUUAACUUCAAAACUAUUUUUAUGUUAUACUAUAAUCUUUAUAUUUGUCAUAAUUAAUUUAAAUCCAUAGAACCUUAUAAGUAACUAGCACAUUUAUAAAAAUAUUACAGUAAUAUUAAUUAAUAAAAUAUUACUCUAAAAUAUAAAAUUUUAUAAAAUACAUAAUUAAAUAUUAAAUUAAAAAUAAAAUAUUAUAUAAUUUCAUAAAGUUGUUUUUGUAAUGCCCUUAUAUAUGAUCAAUUAGUACAUUUGUUAAUUUUUUUGUAAUAUUUUUGUUGCUUAAAUCUAGGUUUAAAAUAUUUUAAAUCUUAUUUUAGAGUUUUUUGAAAAAUAUUAUGUGUAAAAUUUAUAUUUAUAAAAACAAAUUUAAAAUAUUUAGGAGAUGUAUAAAUUUUUAAGGAUUAAAAUAAUAAACGACAAAAUAUUUGAAAAUUAUAAAUGUGAUGUGUAAUUUUAAGAACCAAAAUGGAAAUAAAAAUAUGAAACUUAAAAUUUGAAGUUUUUAGUAGUGAUAUUUCAUAUUUGAAGUUUCACUAUUCACAACUUGUUUAGAUUUGAAAUUUUACUGUUUCUUUUUGGAGAGCAAAAAAAAUUUAUAUUUGGAAUUAUAAAGUGUUUUUUUUUU
rnacentral:lncRNA from 1 species